GUUUGAUCCUGGCUCAGAAUGAGCGCUGGCGGCAUGGAUUAGGCAUGCAAGUCGAACGGGAUGCAGCAAUGCAUCCAGUGGCGAAAGGGUGAGUAACACGUGAAGAAGCUGCCCCUCAAUCCGGGACAAGCGCUGGAAACGGCGUCUGAUACGGGAUGUGGAUCGGAACCGCAUGGUUCCGUUUCUAAAGAUUUAUCGUUGAGGGAGGGCUUCGCGUCCCAUUAGCUAGUUGGCGGGAUAACAGCCCACCAAGGCGACGAUGGGUAGCCGACUUGAGAGAGUGAUCGGCCACACUGGAACUGAGACACGGUCCAGACUCCUACGGGAGGCAGCAGUGGGGAAUAUUGGGCAAUGGAGGAAACUCUUACCCAGCAAUGCCGCGUGAGUGAGUGAAGGUCUUCGGAUUGUAAAGCUCUUUGAUUGGGGACGAAACAAAUGACGGUACCCAAAGAACAAGCCCCGGCUAACUACGUGCCAGCAGCCGCGGUAAUACGUAGGGGGCAAGCGUUGUCCGGAAUGACUGGGCGUAAAGGGUGUGUAGGUGGUUUGAUA
rnacentral:rRNA from 2 species